rnacentral:rRNA from 1 species
AACGAACGCUGGCGGCGUGCUUUACACAUGCAAGUCGAACGGCAGCACGGACUUCGGUCUGGUGGCGAGUGGCGAACGGGUGAGUAAUGUAUCGGAACGUGCCCAGUCGUGGGGGAUAACGUAGUGAAAAUUACGCUAAUACCGCAUACGAUCUAUGGAUGAAAGCGGGGGAUCGCAAGACCUCGCGCGAUUGGAGCGGCCGAUAUCAGAUUAGGUAGUUGGUGGGGUAAAGGCCCACCAAGCCAACGAUCUGUAGCUGGUCUGAGAGGACGACCAGCCACACUGGAACUGAGACACGGUCCAGACUCCUACGGGAGGCAGCAGUGGGGAAUUUUGGACAAUGGGCGAAAGCCUGAUCCAGCCAUUCCGCGUGCAGGAUGAAGGCCCUCGGGUUGUAAACUGCUUUUGUACAGAACGAAAAGGUUUCUACUAAUACUAGGAGCUCAUGACGGUACUGUAAGAAUAAGCACCGGCUAACUACGUGCCAGCCGCCGCAGUAA